ensembl:lncRNA
CGCGCGCGCGCGCGCGCGGGUUCUCACGCACGGUCUGCUACCCUCCUCGCCUCUCCCGCCCCUCCCACUCGGCGAGAGCUGUGGAGCCGCAGCAGCCAGCCCGCCCCGCGCCUAGCUCCCCAGCCCGGCGGGCGAUCCGCUUCCUUCAGACUGCUUCUCGCCCGGGCGCCCCCUACGAAGUUCUCCCUCCCUCACCACCCCCUGCGAGGACCUCAGGGGGCGGUCCCGGUAUGCCCGGCGCUGAUUGGCUACUCGUAAAGAGCCCCGCCCUCUGGGCACGCGCAGGAGGUGGGGCGGGCUCGAGAAGGCCGCGCGGUGCGCGGCCCCGCGGGCUUAGCCUUCGUGACCCGCGUGCUGGCUCUGGCGUCCGGGCUCCCGGGCGUCCGCGAGAAUCCCAUUAUGUAGUUCAGGCUGACCUUGAACUCACUAUGUAACCCAGACUGUCCUCUAACCCUAGAGGAUCCUCCUGCCUCAGCCUCCCAAGUACUGGGAUUACAGCAAACAGUCAUUCUCCAAGUUAUUUGUUUUGGAAAUAUUACUUCUUCCUGUAUCAGAUUUACCUUAAGGUAAUUCCAGUUCUCAUGGGCUUCCUCAAGAUGUGGAUGGCAUAAAGGACACAGAUACCAAGAAGAGCUCACCAUCAUGGCUUUCCUCACGAUAGGCUGCCCUGCUUUCUCCAGAUGAGAAGAACCUGGAAUCUAACUCCAGAAGGAGAGAUGAGCAACCCAGAACCUGCUAAUGCUUAAUUGGUGAGCCACCUUUGGAAGCAGGCUACCCAGAAACAGAAGGAGGAUCACCUUGAGUUCGAGGCCAGCCUGGGCUACAUAGUGAGUUCGAGGCCAGCCUGGACUACAUACAUAGCAAGACCCUGUCUCAAAAAGACCAAAUAAAUAAUAAAUGAAUAAAUAAAUGUCUGAAUUGGAAUUCAAAAAGAAAAGAAGAAAAGUAAUUCCGUGUUGUCCCCUAAGACAUUAUAAGAUUUAACUGAAAAGAAUCAGUUGACUGUCUUUUUCUUUUUUUCUAUGAAUAGAACAGUAAGGACAAAGAUGAACAGUAGUAUUUUUCUUCUGUGCAGUUCCCUUCCAUGUUUUGGGCAGUAGAGAAAGGGAGAGGCAAAUUUCUCCCCAGUCCCUCGUUUCUCUCCCUCUAGCAGGGUGUUUUCUGUAAUUGGCUUUCCACAUUUGCCAAGAGUCUGUUUCCUCUUAACAUCCAACAUGCUUAACAGAAGCCUUGUAAUAGUUCCAAAAAUGAUAAAACCAGACCCAAGAAUAAAAUGAUACACACGACACAUUUGUUUUGGCCAUAGCUUUGGUUAAGUUCUUUUAAAUAAUUUAGGGUUAAAUGUGGUAGAAAUAAAGAUGUUUUCUUCACAGUAAUAAGACCAAAAAGAUGCAGUCAGUGACUCGUGCAGGGUUCAGGGGAGGGGUGAGUUGUCAACACAGAGGCGGGUACAGGACCCUGUGAAAAAGAAGGCACUUCAGUAUUGUGGAUCCAUGUAUGUGUAUAUGUGCCUGUGUGCAGAUGUGGGGGUACUUCUGUGUGUGUGUGUGUGUGUGUGUGUUGCUGUGCAUUGAACACAGGGCCUUAGACAUGCUAUGCAAGUGCUCUAUUGCUGAGCUGCAUUCUCAGCUCUUUAUUUUUUGGCUUUGAGACAGGAUCUUUCUAAAUUGCACAAGCUGGCCUCAAACUUGUGAUUCUCCUGCAUCAGCCUCCUGAGUGACUGGAAUUAGAGGAGCUGAAUCUGAAACUGGGGCACCUCAUAGAGGGAUCCCUGAGCACUGGGAAACCCCCACAGAAACUGAAAGUGAGCCAAGAGUUAACUUGGGUUUGCUACAAAUGGUAUAGUAAACAUCUCACAGACACAGCAAGAAGCCCAGAGGAUAAAGGGACGGGAAAUCAGGUCCAGAGGGACUGAGGAAGUUGGAAGUCCAAAACAGGUAGAAGAGCUGAGGGUACCAAUAAUUCCUCCUGUUGCCGAGUGGCUGCAACUCAACUCAUUUUCAUUGCUGCAUGUUCUCCUCAAUGGAAAAAGACCAUGAUUCAUCCCUUCUACUGAUGGAAAUGAGGCCUGCUUCGUUUGGAGCUAUUAUAUAUGAGAUUAAAUAUCCUGGUAGCAUAUUGUGGUGCAUGCAUGAACAAGUUUCUCUAGAGCCUGUGACAAGAGAGGGAACUAUGAACUAAUGGUUAUACCAAUUUGUACUCCUCUAGUAGUGGAUGAGGAUUUCCUUUACUUCACAACCUUGCCAACAUUCAAAUACUUGUAUUUUUACAUUUUUCUUUUUUUUCCAAC